CAUUUCUUUCAUUAUUCAACACCGAUUCUUAUCUUCUCUUUCUUUCUUUCUUUCUUUCUUUCUCUCUCUCUCUCUCACACACACACACAAGUCUUCAUCGUUGUUGCUUCGUCUUCACGGUGGCGGUGCCUUCGCCAGGCAAAGCAUCCACAAGAGAUUGAGAGAUCCUCCAACCUCUCCUUCGAUGAUCAGAACUACAUCGGUGUGCCAUUAUCUCCGUCGAUGAUUCCCCAGCCUCCCUCCCCUCUCUGCUAACCAUCGAUAACAGAGAUCUGAUCCACCUAUAUCCCUUCGAAUUGAUUUCUACGUCUGCCUCUAGGCCUUCAUUUUGACUUCAAGGUGAAGCCACUGUUCAUAAUUGAAUCGAUUUAUGCGUAAUAAACUGUGCUGAAACUUAAAAUUUUAGAAAUGAGUGUGGUUGGGUUUGAUAUUGGGAAUGAAAACUGUGUAAUCGUUGCAGCAAAAAACUGUGGGAUUGAUGUAUUAUUGAAUGAAAAAUCAAAUCGCAAGACACCUGUUGUGGUGAGUUUUGGUGAGAAGCAAAAGUUUUUGGGUUCUGCUAGAGUUGCAUCUGCUACUAUGAAACCUAAAUCUAAUAUUCUCAAGUUAAAAGGUUAAUUGGAAGUGAAUACAAGAAUCCACUAGUGCAGGAUGAUCUUAAGUUACUACCUUUUGAAACCAGUGAAGCUUCUGAUGGUGGUGUUUUGAUUCUCGUACAAUACUUGAAUGAGAAACACACUUAUAGACCUAUGCAGAUUUUGGGAACGUUGAAAACCAUGUUACAAGCUGUGUGACCGGGAUUCCAUCAUAUUUCAUAGACUUACAAAGGAAUCCACAAGUGGAUUUGCAAGCUCAGGAUCGUGCUCACAAAAUUGGGCAGAAGAAAGAAGUUCAAGUGUUUCGAUUUUGCACAAAGAUUCCUUUAGCUUCUUUCCUUUCCAUUUGAUUAAUAGUUGAAAUGUUUGUUUGCUAAUUUUAAUCGACUAUAAACAGUACACUAUAGAGGAUAAAAGUCAUUGAAAUUGUGGUAUACUUACGCUAUUAUAGAUGACAAGGCUGCUCGACAUUCUAGAAGAUUACUUGAUGUUUCGUGGAUAUUUAUACUAUCGUAUUGAUGGAAACACUGGAGGUGAAGAUUGUGAUGCCUCUAUUGACGCUUUUAAUAAACCAGAAAGUGAAAAGUUUGUGUUUUUAUUAUCAACAAGAGCUGGAGGCCUUGGUAUCAAUCUUUCCACUGUAGAUAUUGUCAUUUUGUAUGAUAAUGACCGAUUUGGAAGAAAUUUAUGGUGAAUAUUGAAGAGGUGAAAAAUGAUAAAUUGAAGAAAAUAAGGAAAUAUCGACACGAAGACGAAAAUGCUUUGAAAUUUGUAGCAUUUUUUAUUUUUUUGUAUUUUAUUUUGUAUCAAAAAAAAUACUUGUACUAUUAUGUUUAUAGAUUAAUUAAAAAAAUGAGAUUUUUUGUGAUUUA